rnacentral:tRNA from 1 species
GUUAUUUUAGCAUAAAUAAGUGCAUUAAAUUUAGAAUUUAAUUAUAUUAAUAUUAGUUUAAUAAAUAAUA